GAGUUUGAUCGUGGCUCAGAUUGAACGCUGGCGGCAGGCCUAACACAUGCAAGUCGAGCGGAUGACGGGAGCUUGCUCCUUGAUUCAGCGGCGGACGGGUGAGUAAUGCCUAGGAAUCUGCCUGGUAGUGGGGGACAACGUUUCGAAAGGAACGCUAAUACCGCAUACGUCCUACGGGAGAAAGCAGGGGACCUUCGGGCCUUGCGCUAUCAGAUGAGCCUAGGUCGGAUUAGCUAGUUGGUGGGGUAAUGGCUCACCAAGGCGACGAUCCGUAACUGGUCUGAGAGGAUGAUCAGUCACACUGGAACUGAGACACGGUCCAGACUCCUACGGGAGGCAGCAGUGGGGAAUAUUGGACAAUGGGCGAAAGCCUGAUCCAGCCAUGCCGCGUGUGUGAAGAAGGUCUUCGGAUUGUAAAGCACUUUAAGUUGGGAGGAAGGGCAGUAAGUUAAUACCUUGCUGUUUUGACGUUACCGACAGAAUAAGCACCGGCUAACUCUGUGCCAGCCGCCGA
rnacentral:rRNA from 3 species